rfam:Chlamydiae bacterium RIFCSPHIGHO2_12_FTLL_27_8 rifcsphigho2_12_scaffold_7394, whole genome shotgun sequence.
GCCCAGGUGGUGAAAUUGGCAGACACGCUAGACUUAGGAUCUAGUGCCGUAAGGUGUGAAGGUUCAAGUCCUUUCCUGGGCA